rnacentral:rRNA from 1 species
AGAAUCAACGCUGGCGGCGUGCCUAACACAUGCAAGUCGCACGAGAAAGGGGAGCAAUCCCUGAGUACAGUGGCGCACGGGUGAGUAACACGUGAAUCAUCUACCUCCGAGUGGGGAAUAACUGAGAGAAAUCUUAGCUAAUACCGCAUAAUACCCACGGGUCAAAGCAGCAAUGCGCUUGGAGAGGAGUUCGCGGCAGAUUAGUUAGUUGGCGGGGUAAUGGCCCACCAAGACGAUGAUCUGUAUCCGGCCUGAGAGGGCGCACGGACACACUGGAACUGAAACACGGUCCAGACUCCUACGGGAGGCAGCAGUGGGGAAUUUUGCGCAAUGGGGAAACCCUGACGCAGCAACGCCGCGUGGAGGAUGAAGCCCCUUGGGGUGUAAACUCCUUUCGAUCGGGAAGAUAAUGACGGUACCGAUAUAAGAAGCCCCGGCUAACUUCGUGCCAGCAGCCGC